rnacentral:sRNA from 1 species
CUCACACAGAAACAGAUGAGAAACAAACAGAGAGCCGCACCAUCACCCCACCUGCUGCACCCAAACCAAAACGGGAGGAGAACCCUCAGAAACUUGCCUUCAUGGUGUCUCUAGGGUUGGUAACACAUGACCAUCUAGAAGAAAUCCAAAGCAAGAGGCAAGAGCGAAAAAGAAGAACAACAGCAAAUCCGGUCUACAGUGGAGCAGUCUUUGAGCCAGAGCGUAAGAAGAGUGCAGUGACAUACCUAAACAGCACAAUGCACCCUGGGACCCGGAAGAGAGCCAAUGAGGAACACUGGCCAAAGGUAUGUAAGAUCAUUUUCCCCCUCUCUUUCCCUCCCCCUUUUUCCCUUUUGUUCCCUUCUCUUGGUAUAUAGGUCGUCCUCCAAAAUACAAUGCAGUGCUGGGGUUUGGAGCCCUUACCCCAACAUCCCCCCAAUCCAGUCAUCCUGACUCCCCUGAAAAUGAAAAGACAGAGACCACAUUCACUUUCCCUGCACCUGUUCAGCCUGUGUCCCUGCCCAGCCCCACCUCCACAGACGGUGAUAUUCAUGAGGAUUUUUGCAGCGUUUGCAGAAAAAGUGGCCAGUUACUGAUGUGCGACACAUGUUCCCGUGUAUAUCAUUUGGACUGCU